rnacentral:rRNA from 1 species
GGGGAAUAUUGCGCAAUGGGCGAAAGCCUGACGCAGCCACGCCGCGUGCGGGAUGAAGGCUCUAGGGUUGUAAACCGCUUUAGGCAGGGAAGAAAAUGACGGUACCUGCAGAAUAAGGUCCGGCCAACUAUGUGCCAGCAGCCGCGGUAAUACAUAGGGACCGAGCGUUGUCCGGAUUUAUUGGGCGUAAAGAGCUCGUAGGCGGUUCGGUAAGUCAGGUGUGAAAGCUCGAGGCUCAACCUCGAGAAGCCACCUGAUACUGCCGUGACUUGAGUCCGGUAGAGGAGUGUGGAAUUCCUGGUGUAGCGGUGAAAUGCGCAGAUAUCAGGAGGAACACCAAUUGCGAAGGCAGCACUCUGGGCCGGUACUGACGCUGAGGAGCGAAAGCGUGGGGAGCGAACAGG